rnacentral:rRNA from 1 species
UACGAAGGGGACUAGCGUUGUUCGGAAUCACUGGGCGUAAAGCGCACGUAGGCGGAUUUGUAAGUCAGGGGUGAAAUCCCGGGGCUCAACCUCGGAACUGCCUUUGAUACUGCGAAUCUUGAGUCCGAUAGAGGUGGGUGGAAUUCCUAGUGUAGAGGUGAAAUUCGUAGAUAUUAGGAAGAACACCGGUGGCGAAGGCGGCCCACUGGACAAGUAUUGACGCUGAGGUGCGAAAGCGUGGGGAGCAAAC